rnacentral:misc_RNA from 1 species
ACAACCGUCAAGCCUGGCUUGGUGUUGGGCGUCGGGCGUCGAGCCCGUGUCCCAAAGAGAGUGGCGGUGUCGAUUCAGUCCUCGGCGCAACGAGCUCCACGAGCACGCACCGGAGGGGCCAUCGGCGCCCGCCUAGACCCCCUAAUUUUCUCA